UCAUAACCUAAAUUUGAUGCCUUACCUUUGCUGGUCAUGCUAGGAUGGUGGUAUGUCAUGUUCUUGUGAGUUUUAUCUAAAUAAAUUUUCUAAUAUUUGCUUUCUUACUUACUAUUUUUGUAUAUGUACAGCUGAAGCCCCUCCUAACGUAGUUUAUUCUUCCUGUUUAUUUUGAAAUUUACUAGUUGCGGUGUUUAAUUAACACCUUCUGUCACUAUCUUAUGAUGUUAG
rnacentral:misc_RNA from 1 species